rnacentral:rRNA from 1 species
AUACGGAGGGUGCAAGCGUUACUCGGAACCACUGGGCGUAAAGCGCGCGCAGGCGGCUAUUUAAGUUGGAUGUGAAAGCCUACGGCUCAACCGUAGAACUGCAUCCAAAACUAUUUAGCUAGAGUGUGGGAGAGGAAGAUGGAAUUAGUUGUGUAGGGGUAAAAUCCGUAGAGAUAACGAGGAAUACCAAAAGCGAAGGCAAUCUUCUGGAACACUACUGACGCUGAGGCGCGAAAGCGUGGGGAGCAAACAGGAUUAGAAACCCUAGUAGUCC